rnacentral:rRNA from 1 species
AUUGAACGCUGGCGGCAGGCCUAACACAUGCAAGUCGAGCGGAUGAAGGGAGCUUGCUCCUGGAUUCAGCGGCGGACGGGUGAGUAAUGCCUAGGAAUCUGCCUGGUAGUGGGGGAUAACGUCCGGAAACGGGCGCUAAUACCGCAUACGUCCUGAGGGAGAAAGUGGGGGAUCUUCGGACCUCACGCUAUCAGAUGAGCCUAGGUCGGAUUAGCUAGUUGGUGGGGUAAAGGCCUACCAAGGCGACGAUCCGUAACUGGUCUGAGAGGAUGAUCAGUCACACUGGAACUGAGACACGGUCCAGACUCCUACGGGAGGCAGCAGUGGGGAACAUUGGACAAUGGGCGAAAGCCUGAUCCAGCCAUGCCGCGUGUGUGAAGAAGGUCUUCGGAUUGUAAAGCACUUUAAGUUGGGAGGAAGGGCAGUAAGUUAAUACCUUGCUGUUUUGACGGUACCAACAGAAUAAGCACCGGCUAACUUCGUG